CUCGGCUGACUGCUCAGUAACACGUGGGAUAAUCUGCCCUUGGGUGGAGAAUAAUCUCGGGAAACUGAGAAUAAUACUCCAUAGAUCUAGGAAGCUGGAAUGCAUCUAGGUUGAAAGCUUCGGCGCCUAAGGAUGAGUCUGCGGGCUAUUAGAUUGUAGUCAGGGUAAUGACCUGACUAGUCUACGAUGGCUACGGGUUGUGAGAGCAAUCGCCCGGAGAUGAUAUCUGAGACACGAUAUCAGGUCCUACGGGAUGCAGCAGGCGCGAAAACUUCACACUGUGCGAAAGCACGAUGAGGGAAUCCCAAGUGCCAGCUCGUAAGAGUUGGCUGUUUUUCUGUCUAAAAAACAGAGAGAGUAAGAGCUGGGUAAGACGGGUGCCAGCCGCCGCGGUAAUACCUGCAGCUCGAGAGGUGAUCGUUAUUAUUGGGCCUAAAACGUUCGUAGCCGGUUUCGUAAAUGCUUGGGUAAAUCGUUUGGCUUAACCAAACGAAUUCCGGGUAGACUACGAGACUUGAGAUCGGGAGAGGCUAGAGGUACUCCUGGGGUAGAGGUGAAAUUCUGUAAUCCUAGGGGGACCACCAGUGGCGAAGGCGUCUAGC
rnacentral:rRNA from 1 species